CACUCACACUGUUUGUCUCUCCAUUUCAUUUCUCACCCUUUCUCACUCCUUUCUUUUUCCUCACAAUUUCCAUUUUUAUUUCUGGUCUUUCUUCAUUUUCUCUUUCACAAUCACCCUUCCCGACAACGUCCAUGUCUCCUCCCUCCCCUCUACCACGUGAAACGACCCCUUUCUACUUCUUUCAUCCUCCCAGGAACCGUUUCUUGCUUUGUUUUCCCACAGGGUGUGUGGGGAUCUGGCGUGCAGCUGGGAGAUCCCGGCAGGGCUGGCUCCAGACAGGAACGAGGCGUCUGCGGGAAGGAGCGAGAAGAAGAGGAGGAUGAGGCUGUUGAUGGUGAGGAAGCAGCCGCCCACAACCAGGAGCCGUAGAAGAAGGAAGCAGCUCUUCCCUGCAAGAGGGUGGGACAGGCAUUCUGCUCAGGUCCUGAGUGCUGAACACCCAAAGACUUUCCCCGCUUGCUUGGCUCUGCAGGAGGCACUGAGAAAUUUGGGAACAAUGGCUCGGGAGGCCAAGGAGAGGCUGCUGAGCCAUAAAGACACGGCUUGGCUUGUGAAGGACGGGAUCCACCUCUCAGGCUUUUUUUCCUCAUACUUGCAGGGAGGACCUCUUGGCCAUCCCUGUAGAAGUGAAACCUCCGUACAGUGGCGUCUCCAGGGGCCUUACAGAUGAUGCUCAGGAGAUCUCCUGCCAUCACCUCUCCCAGCGGGGACUCCACCAUCAGCAGGGGCUGGGGAAGGUGGUCUGAGAAAAGGGGAGGAAUAAAUGGAGACGUAGCAAUAAGGACA
rnacentral:lncRNA from 1 species